UGCCCUAUAUAGCCAAGACAUUCCUUGUGAAUAUUUAAAGUGCGAUAAAAUGCAAUCUCAUAUUUCUUUGUAGACGUAAGAUAGUGUUAAUGUGUGCGCGUGAUUUCAGGCACAUCGGGCUCGGACCGUCGUUCACACUUUCAUUCAGGGAACGAUACCAAUGGGAACGCUUAGUGAAUUUCAGACUUUUCUUUACACGUUCGAUGUUAAUGACUAUCGGUUCAGUGCUUGCAGACUAUUCUAUGUGCAGCCCACACUUCUGCCUAAGAUGGCUGCUGCCGCGUUCGCUUAUGUAGUAGUUAUAUUACAAACAGGAACUCAACAUCGUAUUCAGUCUGGCCACGUUCCCAAUGCUACAUUCGACGGCUAGACUCGUAUGACGUACGGCAGCCGUGACCUCCUCUAGGCACUUCACACAUGUAAAUAAAUUAAAAAAGAAAAAAAAAGUAAUUACGGAACGAAGAAAAAAAAAAGCACACAGGUCAAGUGCAGAUCGCGGAGUCCCCAAGUUACAGCAAGAUCAACGGCAGAAGGGCAA